GGGUCAGUAGGUUGGUCGUGCCACCGGUACGUACUGGACUCACUGAUUCCUCCUUCCUGAAGAACCUUAAUGCCAUUAAUUUGGUGUUGCGGGGAAACAGGACUGUUACUUUGAAAAAAUUAGAGUGUUUAAAGCAAGCUAACGCUUGAAUACAUUAGCAUGGAAUAAUGAAAUAGGACGAUCGAUCCUAUUUUGUUGGUUUCUAGGAUUGACGUA
rnacentral:rRNA from 1 species